rnacentral:lncRNA from 10 species
GCAUCAUUGUCUUUAGGGCUUUUUCUGCACAGAGAUCAGGAUAAGAAAAGGAAAAACAUCCCAAGGCCUAACAGUGAAGGCAUCUGUUGCUGACCACACUGAGGGCUGUGGCUUCUCUUCAGACCUGGACUGGUGAGGUCUGCAGGCCUCUGGGCUGAGCCCGACUCCUCUUCAGCCUCAUUAACCCAGAAAGGGGUCUGGAGAGGUGAAUUUAGGCAGAUUCCAACGAGCAAGAACUGAUCAUCGUUCCUGCUUACCGCUGGUUGUUCUGGACAAGAAGUGAUAGAAUGUGUUACCUUCCAUGGCAAAAGAGACUUUGCAGAUGUGAAUGAGGUCAAACACCUUGUUGAAGGAGAUCAUCCAGGAAUAUCUUGACGAGAACCCCAAGGCUCAGCAGGGGAAAGAGAUUUGCAAAGAUGGCCAACAGAAGACAGUCCAGGAUGCUCACAACUCCCUGGGGUGAACGUUACCCCUGCCAAUGUCACACUUCCCCAAGGAGAGAAUACACCCCUGCCCCAGCAGUUCAGGCACAGCUGUCCUGUCUCAUUCUUACAGAACAGAGGGUCUGCAGGCAUCUCAGUAAGAUACUAAAGCAAUUUGUUUUAUUUGUCCAAGGGAAUACUGCCCUUAUUUGACUGAAUAAGCAUAAAUAGCCAGGGAGGGGUCUGUUUGUGGCGUCACCAUCUGCACCAGCAGAAGAGCCCUCACACAUUGUCUCUUUCCCAGCAGCUGCAGUUCUCCUAAAGAAGUCAGAUCAAGUUCAGGUUUAAAAUAAGUAAUCUGGAUUUGCAAGGUGCCAUGAGGAUGGCAGUGCCACUAUACCAAUUCCCCAGGGAACUAUUCCCAGGGCUCCAGGCCCCAUGGUUUGACUUCUCUUCUCUGGCAUGAGAAAUCAGUGUAUUCUCACAUUGUCUCCUGAGAUUCAGAUCCUCUGCCAAACGAUGGAUCUGAAACCACUCUCAUCUCUACCUCCAUGCUUCAACACCUCCAUCUGCUCCAGAGUGGACUACUUGGGACAGAUACAUAAAAAUAAAAGACAGUGUUUCAGGGAAAGGGAAGAAGUGUGGACCUUUGGUGGAUACCCAUUCUACUUCAUUGGAUCAUCCUGAUAACUCAAUAUGCUCAGUGUUAUUAUCACAUUGUGUAGAUGAGGCUGAGAACAUGCGCUUGUCUGUGGUCACACUACUGUGCAGUGAUGGAGUUGGAAUACCAGCUCAUUUGUCAAAGCCUGGGUUCCCCUCAAAGCUUCUUAAACUUUGGCAGGACUAAAAUACUCCUAAUGCAAGAGAUGGGUAAAUGCACACUCCCGGGUGAGCUUGGGGCUCAGUAUACACAGUCCGUGGUGUUCAGUCAGCAUGGAACAUUGUUCCUGGCCUUUCACUGAGAAGACUCUCAUUGGUCCUUCCCUCAGCCAGUCAUUUCCUCCAGGAAGCUAUUUCUGAGCUCCCCGGUCUAGGCUCCGUUGCCAACCCCCGAGGUGCUCCAAUAUUGCAUAUUCUGUGAGGGCACUCAGCUUGUGUUGUGUUGCUUAAUUAUUUGUCGGUGUGGCCUCAGGAGGUCAGGGACCACAUCUGCCUUGUGUCUUCCUAUAGGUACCCCCAGCAGCCAGCACACUGCUCAGCACAGUAUAACUGCCCAAUGAAUAGCUGUUGAGUAAACAUUGACUCCAGCUAAAGCUUCUAUCUCAUGUGUAAAUUGCCUCUCGAACAGAUCUGUUAGUUAUAAUCCAGCCUCUUCAAACACAGCACCAACAACAGAAAAUUCAGAAAAUGAAGAGGCAAAGACUGGAUGCAGUGGCUCAUGCCUUUAAUCCCAGCCAUCUGGGAGGCCAAGGCAGGAGGAUUGCUUAAGCCUGGGAGUCAGAGACCAGCCUGGAAAACAAAGCGAGACCCUGUCUCUACAAAAAAAAAAAUUUUAAUUAGCCAGGUGUGAUGGCAUACACCAGUUAAAAUGGGAGGAUCACUUGAACCUGGGAGGUCGAGGCUACACGAGCAGUGAUGGCACUGCUGCACUCCAGCCUGGGCAACAAGUCAACCCUGCUCAAAAAAAAAAGAGAGAGGCAAACCCUUCUAUGUUCAUCCCACACCAUACCCAUUCUACUCCAUAUUCUUUGUUGAUUGUUUGGGUUUCGUUUUGUUUUGUUUUUUGAGACAGGGUCUCACUCAGUUGCCCAGGCUGGAGUGCAGUGGCACAAAUACAGCUCACUGCAGCCUCAUCCUCCUGGGUUCAAGGGAUUCUCCCACUUCAGUCUCUUGAGUAGCUGGAACUACAGGUGCAUGCCACCAUGCCCAGCUAAUUUAAACAAUUUUUUGUAAAAACGGGGCUCUCACUAUGUUGCCCAGACUGGUCUUGAACUCCUGGCCUCAAGCUAUCCUCCCGCCUCAGUGUCCCAAAGUGCUGGGAUUAUAGACAUGAGACAUCAUGCCAGCCUACGGCAUAUUCUCUGUAUUCCAGGCACACUGGCCCUCCUUGAGUUCCUUAAAUGCUCUAUGAUCCCUCCACCGCAUGGCUUUUGCACACCCCAUUCCCUCUAAUCCCCACUCUUGCUCUUUCUCCAGAUCUCAGCUCAGUCCCAGUUCAUGUUCUUGGGGCACCAUUUGGCUCUCUCUCAUACCUUUAAGCACAUGGUUUGUGUCUGAUUGCAUGUCUUGCACUGCGAAGGCAGGUGUGAGGUUUUUUUGGUCUUUGUUUACCCUCGUGUCUCCAGCAUCUAGUGGCUGGCAUAGUGUACAAGCUCAGUACACUGUGCCUGAACAAUGAAGUGAUGUUUAAAUGGAGGUCUGUGCAGGUGGAGUAUUCUAAGCAGGAGAAACAGGUAGAGCAAAGCCCUGAGGAAAGAGAUAUCAAGUUGCAUUUAAGACUGAACGAAGCCCACUGUAGCUGAGCCAUAGAGAAUGAGGGGGAAGAGCGCAUCAUGGUAAGGCUCUAGAGAGGUAGGCAGAGCCUCACAGGGUCUUAAAAGUGAGUUAAGACCUUUGACUUGCCACCAUCGGGUUUUAAGCAGGGUGGUAAUUCUCCCGUUCUGCACAGGACCUCUACUAAUGCCACCCCAUGAGGGAAGGUGGUCUUUUAAACCAGAGGUCAGCAUAUUGCAUGCAUGCACAUUAAAUGUCAUCAUAGUUAGCUGAGUCUAUUGUUCUAACCUUCUGAGAUCAUUUUGAGCCUUCUUUGUGCCUUCUAGCUUGGCAUCAUCAGCAAUUUGUGGUAAUAGAAGGGGGCCCGCCUAUCAAGAAAUAUCAGAGAAAACAAAGGCAGUACAGUUCCACGGGGCUCCAACCACAACACAAGUCCUAGCUCCUGUGGCAUUGGGAAUUCCAGCCAUGGAUGUCUGGGACUAUAACCCGGAUCUCUAAUAGACUACAAGUUCAGCAGUGUCAUCCUUGCAUACUCUAACGUUUUAUGUACAUAUCCUUUUUUUUUUAUUUUUUAAUUUCCCUUUUUCCUCUUUAAGCCCUCCCUAAUAAAGGACGUGGAGAGGAAGAGUUCCUUGCUUACUUCAACCAUAUAAACUGGAUUUUUCUUUUCUUUUCUUUUUUUGAGACAAGGUCACUCUGUCACCCAGGCUAAAGUACAGUGGCACAAUCAUAGCUCACUGCAGCCUCAACUUUCUAGCUUCCUAUCCUCCUGCCUCAGCCUCCCAAGUAGCUGGGAUUACAGGCACAUGCAACUGGACCUGGCUUUAUUUUUUUUGUAGAGACAGGGUCUUGCUAUGUUGCCCAGGCUGGUCUUGAACCCCUGGGCUCCAAUAAUCCUUCCACUUCUGCCUCUCGAAGUGCUGGAAUUAUAGUCAGGGGCACCAUGCCCAGCCUAUAAAUUGGAUUUCUUUUUUCCCUGAAGAAAUUUUUAUUGUUUUCUUCCUGCUGUCUGAUGUGUUUUAAUAAAUAGAAUGUUUGUCUUUUGUUUGCAUAUAUUCCAAG